rnacentral:rRNA from 1 species
UACAGAGGAUGCAAGCGUUAUCCGGAAUGAUUGGGCGUAAAGCGUCUGUAGGUGGCUUUUUAAGUCCGCCGUCAAAUCCCAGGGCUCAACUCUGGACAGGCGGUGGAAACUACCAAGCUGGAGUACGGCAGGGGCAGAGGGAAUUUCCGGUGGAGCGGUGAAAUGCGUAGAGAUCCGGAGGAACACCAAAGGCGAAGGCAGUGUCCUGGGGAGUACCUGACGCUCAGGUGCGAAAGCCAGGGGAGCGAACGGG